rnacentral:rRNA from 1 species
GCCAGGGCGCAUCGCUGGGUAAGCUAUUGAACGGCAGGGAUAAACGCUGAAAGCAUCUAAGUGUGAAGCCCCCCUCGAGAUGAGAUUUCCCAUUCCUAUAUGGAAGUAAGACCCCUGAGAGAUGAUCAGGUAGAUAGGCUGGAAGUGGAAGUGCAGCGAUGCAUGGAGCGGACCAGUACUAAUCGGUCGAGGACUUAACCAA